rnacentral:lncRNA from 1 species
UGUGUCAAGUUUUUUACAACAGAACGAAAUAAAUACAUUACAUUUUCCUUGAACAUUUUUUUAAUGAAUGAAAGAUUCUUAUAACUUAUUCUAUAGUUAUUUACAAUUUUCAAAUGUCACACAUAAUUUCAUAUGAUCCUUAGUAAACUUUUUUCUACUCUACCCUUAUAUUCCUUUCCUUUCCCUACUGGCAACCACUAUGAAAUAUAGUUUCAAUUUUAUUAUUUUACAUAAAUACACAACCAGUUAAUAAUAGAAAAUAAAAAUUAAAGAUUUGUGUUUUAUGGAGAAAAAUUAUUGGAUGGUAUUAAUUUGGUUUAAUUACAAGUUUUUCUGCCAUACUUGAAGACUGUAUGGCUUGACGUGGAGAAAGCCAUACCUUCUGGCCAGAAAAGAUUUGUAUUACAUCAUUUCUGUGUGGCAAGAAAGGGCAACACAUGGAAAAUUUAUUUCAAGUUUAAAUUUUACUCAGCAGUUUUUGUAUAAAAUCCAGUAGAAAAGAGAUGCUUACUGAGGGUUUAUGAAUAAAAAAAUAUUAUCUGCAACCUUAUACCAAUAUGUGAAAAAAGAUUGAAAAGAGAAAAGAAUGGAGUCAGGACCAUACUCAUAUCAAUUUUCACACUGCCACAGGAGAGAGACCUAGACAGUAGAAUAAUGAAUCAAAAAAGGCAGAUCUAGAUAUUUUUUAUGAUAAAUAAUUCAAUAUAUUUUUAAGUUAUCUGAUAUAUUUCUUUUUAGAUAACUAAAGCAUUAUAUACUUAUAUAAUUUAAUGAAUACAUUUAAUAUAAUUUAUGUACUUAGAAUAAAACUUAGUAAUAGCUUAGUUUUACUUCAGAAAAGUAAUAUUCAGUCACCAAAUAGUGUGUGUAUUUACAUAUAUAUUUGGUACUCAAGGAAGCAGCCCUGUGAGACUGGGAAUGAUACAGAAAAUUCAAAGUGAAUGAAAUGGUAAAAACCCAAUAGAUAACAAAUGUAUGAUGCUUCAGUGGCUAUCAGUUCAAUUCUAGUGCAUAUCAAACCUCUUAAAUGUUUAUUGCAGGUUUAUUUGUAAAUCUCCCCCCCAAAAAAAUAGGUCCUUCAAUGAUGAAUAGAUAAACAAAAUAUAGUAUAUACCUUCAAUGAAAUGAGGUAUUAAGCUAUACAAAACCAUGGGAUAAAUCUGAAAUAUACACUGUUAAAAGAAAGAAGACUACAUGCAAAAUUUAUUUAUUGUAUGAUUCCAUAUAUAUGACAUUGCAGAAAAGGAAAAACUAAAGAAAGUAAAAUUAUCAGUGACUGCCAAAGUCUGGGAAUAUUUUAAAGCGGUAAAACUAUUCUUACUGAUACUACAAUGGUGGAUGUGAGACACUGUGCAUUGGUUAAAAACCAUAGACCUUUAUACUACAAUAUAAAAAUCUCAAAGUAUACAAACAAAACAAGAUCUUUCAGGAGUUGAGUGAUUCAGGAUGAAAGGCAGACUUUGAAAACAGAAUCAAAAUGUCACAAAUGUAUGAAAUGUUUUCACUUACAAGGGUGAAGAAAAAUAUUGUUGACUGAAGUAAUUUUGGAAAUAAGUAAAUAUGUAAGACUAAAGGUAGAAUAAACUACAAGUGCUGCCCCUUAGUUGAUAAAAUAGCUUCUGAUGGAGUUAUGUGUUAUCAAUCUGAGACAAAUAUACAAGUAUACUAAAUCUACCAAUAAAUCAAAUGCACAGUAAAUAGUGGGAUUCAAGUCACUGAUGGGUGGGUGUUUACAGAUAAACAAGAAUAUGAAUAUAAUGAUUCAUGUAGAAAUGAAUCAGAAUUAGGGGACACCAGUAUAAACUCUUACUUAAUGACACUAUGGAUGGUUAUAGAAAGACAGGAAAUAUUUAAAGAUAUGUUUUUAGUAUACCCACAUAUUUCAUUGUUCUACAAGCUGAGAGAGUCCAGAAGUAACAACUCGGUAGCUCUGGGCACACACAAUACCCAGAUCUUGGUUUCUAAUGCCUUUCUUCAAUGAAAUUUUCCAGAACUCCUUGUAGUAAUGGCUUAUUCUAGUGAUGGGACAGGAAUAUUUAAAAUGAACCUGGAAAAUCUUGUAUCAAAAGAUAACAAAGUGUAUAGCUUUGGUAUGAAAUAAUAAAAAUUACAGUUAACCUCUUUAAUCCUCUUCUCAAAACAAUAUAACAUCAAUAUAAUCAUGAUGAAAGCUUUACACACCAUCUAGUAAAGGAACAUUCUACACAAUAUCUAAUCAAUAACCCUCAAAACUACCAGGGUCAUCAAAAAAAAGGAAGUCUGAGAAAUUGUCAAAGACAAGAAGAGAUUAAGAAAAUAUUAUAAUAAAUUGUAAUACAGCAUCUUAGUUGAUAUCAUAGAGCUGAAACAGUGCAUAACGUAAAAACUAAGUAAAUCUGAAUAUAGUAUAGUCUUUAAUUUUUUGAAAUUGAAGUUAUAAAAAGUGUCUUCAUGGCAUUAAAAUAUAUUCUUAGUUAAAAAUGAAGGUUUUGGUAUUUUGUGAUUCAUGUUGUUUUCAUUCAUUUUCUCUCUUUUUUUGAGAUAUAAUUGACAUAUAGCAUUGUGUAAGCUUAAGGUAUGCAACCUGAUGUGUAACACACAACAUAUAUAUAUAUCUAUAUAUGUAUAUAUAUAUAUAUAGUGAAAUUAUUAUACAAAAAACAUUAGCUAACACCUUCAUCAAGUCACAUAAUUGCUAUUUUUAAAGGUAAAUGUGAUGAAUACAUAACAUCUACUCUUUUAGCAAACUUUCAACAUAUAAAAUACAGUAUCAUUGAAGAGUGAAAUCAAGAUGGCAGAGGAGUAAGACAUGGAGCUCACUUCUCCCACAAACACAUAAAAAAAACCCAAAAAUAAAAACCAAAAACUGCAUAUAAGAACAAUUCACACAGAACAUCUACUGAACUCUGGCAGAAGACCUUAAGCCUCCAAAAAUGGCAAGAAAUUCUCCACAUACCAGGUAGAACAAAAGGAAAGAAUAAAGAGGGAGACAGAAGAGAAAAAUAGGAAUCAGGAUGGGACCAACGCUCCUGAGAAGGAGCAGUGAACGAGGAAAUUAAUCCAUACCCUGGGAGGCCACUAACUGAUGGGGAAAUAAGUCAAGAUGGUGAAGGAACCUCACAGCCUCAGACAAAAGUGCAGCAGCCACACUGAGGAGGGCAAAGCAGAGAAAAAUCUGCAAAAAUCAUUGGCCACAGCCCCUGGACACCACGGCCUGAGAUGCUUGGGAAGGGGCUUGGUGCUGAGACUCAGACUCCAGAGCCCAAUUCCAGUUGCGUGGAGAGGACCUGGGUUGGCUAUGUGGAGACAACCUGAGGGACUGGGAAGCAGAGUGCCACAGCUGAGAGAGUAUGGGAGGAGGUCUGGUCCCACAGGAGAAGCAAGGCAAAAUUGUUGUGGGGGAGAUAGGAAGAGAGGCAUGACUGCCAUAAGAAUGUCUUUCUCUGUGCAAAUGUAGGCUCUCAGAUAUGGGCUCUCAGGCCAGGAACCAGGAGCAGCCUGUGCCACCUGCAUGUGGAUCCUUACCACAUUCAAAGGCCCAGCAACCAGGCACCAGCUACUAGCCUUGACAAUUGCCUCCAUCUCCCUAGAAGCAUGUGCAGGCUAUACACCAGCAUAUCCACUAUCAAGGGGAUAACAGCUUGCACACACUGAGGAAAGAGAUGCCAAGCAUCCAAACCAAAAGCAACUUUCAUGCCCCUCCCCAAGAAAAGUAAGCCCUCCCAAACCUCCCAGGGGUGCUCUUGGUAUAAAUAGCCCUCUGAGUCUACAAUAGUUGUUUUCCCUAAACUCAUAGAAUAAGAAAAAUAUAAGCAAAUAAAGACGAUCAGGAACCAUUCCCAGUUAAAAGAACAGGAGACUUCACCUGAAAAAGAAAACCAUGAAACAAACCUCUGCAGUCUAAAAGACACUGAGUUCAAAAAGGGGAUAGUGAAAAUUGUGAAGGAAUUAAGAGGGAAUCUGAAGGAAUUAAGUGUGGAUAUGAAUAGUUAUGCAGGUAAAUUUAAAAAGGAACUAGAAAAUAUAAUGAUGAGCCAAGAAAAAUUAGAAAAUUCAUUUGCAGAAAUUUAAGCUGAGUUAAAGGCACUGAGGAGCAGAAAGAAUAAUGCAGAGGAACAAACACACAACUUGGAAGAUAGAAUAAUGCAAAUCACUGAAUCAGACAAAAGACAGGAAACUAAAAAGAGAGAAUUAAAAGACGGAAAACAAAGAAAGCAAUAUAAGAUCCCUGGGGUAAUAUAAAGUGGGCCAAUCUAUGCAUAAUAGGAACUUCAGAAGGAGAACAAAAAGAAAAGGGGAUUGAAAGUAUAUUUGAAGAAUUAUGGCUGAAAACUUUCCAAAUCUAAAGGGAACAGAUAUCAAGACACAGGAAGUACAGAGGGCCCCAAACAAGUUAAACCCAAACAGUCCCACACCAAGACAUACUACAAUAAAAAUGCAAACGUUAAAGAAAAUGAGAGGAUUCUAAAGGAAGCAAGAAGAAAACAAAGAGUUAAUUAUAAGGGAAACCCCAUAAGACUAUCACCUGAUAUCUCUACAAGAACAUCAAAGGCCAGAUAUAUUCAAACUUCUAAGAGGGAAAAUAUGCAGCCUGGAAUACUCUACCCAGCAAAAAUAUCAUUUAAAAUAGAAGGAUAAAUAAAAGUUUAUUCAACAACAAAAAAUAAAAGAAUAUAGCAUUACUAAACCCAUUCUGAAAGAAAUACUGAAAGGUAUCCUCUAAAUAGGAAAGAAGCGAGAAGACAUAGGAUGAAGAAAUAACAAUAGGAAAGUGAUCACUUAAUACGCCAGUAUACAGAUCUAAAAGGAAAAGAAAAUGUAAAGGUGAUGAUAAACGCAAGUAACAGCAAAAGGAUAAACAUGAAGAUGAAUAAAAGAACAUCAAAAUCAUAAAAGCUGGGGAAGAAAGAAAAUCUAGAAUAUUUUUUAUUUUUAUUUUUUUAUUUUUUGUCUUUUUGCCAUUUCUUGGGCCGCUAUCACGGCAUAUGGAGGUUCCCAGGCUAGGGGUCCAAUCGGAGCCGUAGCCACCGGCCUACGCCAGAGCCACAGCAAUGCAGGAUCCGAGCCGCAUCUGCAACCUACACCACAGCCCAUGGCAACGCGGGAUCAUUAACCCACUGAGCAAGGGCAGGGACUGAAUCCGCAACCUCAUGGCUCCUAGUCGGAUUUGUUAACCACUGCGCCACAACGGGAACUCCUAGAAUGUUUUGUAAAGGUAUUUUGGCCUAUAUGACUAUCAGGCUAAAACAAGCAUAUAUAGGAAGGGGUUAACAUACUUGAAAAACAGGGAAACCACAAAUCAAAACUAAAUAAUACAUUCAUGAAAACUAAAAAGAAGACAUGAACAAAAAAUAAAAAGUCAUCU